UCUCCGUGUCGUCCGGCCUCCCCUGCUCCACGACCCUCCGCCUCAGGGCCUCCCGCGCCGCCGCCUUCUCUUCCGGGCCUCUUCUCUGGCGCUCAAUGCAGCCGGGGCGACCUCAUCCUCUUCCUCUCCUCCUUCCCUGCCUCCGGAUCCAGACCAGUGAAAUCUGGAGGGGAGACGAGUAAAGGGCGACUGAGGCGACGGUCGAGCAGAUGAGAGGGAGAGAGAAGGAAGAAGAGGCGACGCUCGAGCAGAUGAGAGGGAGAAAGAGGUAGGUGCAGCAAGGCGACGGACGGGAGAGGGCCGAGGGCGAGCUCCAGCGCGAGCGCGUGGACCUGUCACCCACGCCGGCGAGGUCCUCAGCCCCGAGCUGCGCCUCUACCACCGCGAAGGCGACUGCUGCGACCAUGCUCGUGCGCACACACACUGUGCCGUCUCCAGGUGCCAGUUGAAGUUACUGCUGGGCUUUAUUUCCCUCCUCUGAUUUGGUGUUGUGGGAGAAAGAAGAAGAGCAGGCAUGUUCUCUGUUUCUACAUCCAGCGUCCACACGGCUAGAUCGACAGGUCUAAACUCUUGAAUACAGAAAGAGUAAGCUACUAGCAUUCCUAAUGUGCAAGUAAACCUACUGGGAUUAUGACUGCAAAAAAAAUUCAUGACAUGUGAGCAAUUCUCAAUUUAGAUACUGUGAGCUUAAAUAACAAGAGCUAAACUGUUGUGCCUUGUUCAGAAUUGGUAAUAGAAAAGAUAAUCUAAACGCACAUUCUGAAAUUAUCUAGACUCCUGCCUUUGGGUAAUUAGGUUGCUAAGCAUUACUUUGUAAAUAAAUGACAUGCUAACUUGCUGGUUCAGUUUAAAGCUAUAGGCAGGGGCUUGCGGUAGGGGGGAUAUAAUUGUGGCAGUUGAAAACCAAAACACUUAUUCAUGAGUGUAUGAUCUGGACUGCGCUUUUUCUGAAAGUAUGUUACGAUCCUGCUCUUGGAAGAUUAAGCUGUUGUGGUUUUGCUUCAUAAAUAAUUGGCAUGCUAAAACAUUGGUUGUUGUUUCAGUGGUGGGGACCAAUAAUAGAAAGAAGUUGCUUCCUUAGAUGGUUGGUUAGGUCAUGGGUGCAGCAAGGAAAGGGACACCUGAUGACGGUUCUGGACUUGAGGUCUAACAAAAAGUAUUGUUCAGUGUAGUGUUUUUCUGGUUUCUUGAUCAGUGUGUCAGAGGCCAUGAAUUCUUUUCAUGCUUGCAAAUAUUUUUUUGAUUGUAUUUGAAAAGUAUACCCCGAUUGAGAGUCUAGGAGGGAUCUUGCUGAACAAAUAUACCUGACUUCAUGAAUGUCUGUACAGUUAGUCAGAGAUGAAAUGACAAGCAGCUCUCCUGCGUCGUUCGAGAAGAAAAGAAAACAAAAGAUGAGGAUUAUAUAAUCCCACUUUAUGCUUACAGUUAGUCCGAGAUUCAAGUGAUUAUUUAUGCCGCGGUCGCUACAACAAAUCAUCUAAAAUAAGCUACUAGCGUUUUUUUUUAUCCAAGCUUUCUUGCUUAGAAUUAGAUAAUAUACGCCUGCUUCAUACAUAUUACUCUUUCUGAGAGGGGCAUGAUCAUCAUGAAACCAGCAAAUUAUAUACGCAUAUGUGCUUUACUAAAUAUUAUUCUCUCUGUAUACCUUCUUUAUUUUUAUUAGAGAAACGGUUGAGAUAGUACACUCAGACUAAUGCAUUACACGUCUUUUUGUGCUUAAACCAGAGGCAAAAGCACUUUAAAAUAUGUUCCGCUGCCUCUUCUCCUCUUCAUUGCUCUGCUUCUUCCCCUGAUUCCUCUUUUUCGUUUUUUCUCUUUGUGGCGCCGCCGAGGAUGAGUGGAGCAGCUGCUGAAGCAGGCGCGGCGCUGGUGCGCUGCUGGCGAAGCGGUGGUCAACGGUGCCGUCGACGUUGUCCUUGGCAGAAGUUAUCCCCAUUGGCUUGUGGAUAUGCUCCUGCUGGGUCGUUCUUGUUUAUUUUCUCUAUCCAACAUCAUUGCAGGUUGGUGUUUCCUCUCUUUCUCACUGCAGGUACCUAUGCCUCUAUUAUUCUAGGAUUUUGCAAGUUAAAUACUCAUGUGUGCUGAACUGAAAAGUUCUCUAUGUAACAUCUAUUGCAGGUUGGUGUUUCCUACCUAUGCCUCUAUUAUUCUAGGAUUUUGAAAGUUAAUUGCUCAUGUGUGCUGAAUUGAAAAGCUCAAUGAAAGGCACUUAUUUCUAUGCACAAAUGCUUUUGUUGCUAUCCGAAUCUGUAGAGAAGAAAUAUAUACGUCUCCUCUGUUCAUUGCCCUUUUUUUGCGGGUAGUUCAUUGCCAUUUUGGAUUCAUAUGUGAAGUCUAUUGUUGUUAAUUACAGUUAACUAAUUUAUUAAUUCAUGGUUGUUUUAGUUGCUGACCAUAUGAUUCGUAGCCUUGGACAGAAGAGGCCAGCAACAAACAUAAGCAACCACUGUCCUGUCCAGAACAUGUAUAUCUUCAGUUUUGGUUGCCUUCCGUUUACUUGCCAACAAGCGACACUGAGCUCGCAUAUUUACUGUUUGCUUUGUUAUAUACUUAAUCUACUAGACAAAGUGUAAAAUGGAAAUUCAUGCUUGACAAUUUUGUAUAUUUAUAAACCUAUAUGCUACUCUAAUUGGUUUUACUUCUUCUAUAUAUUUUCUCCUCUUGGCGUGUAUAAACAGUGCACAAAGUUAGUUUCUUUUCCUUCUCGAUCGCAUCUAAUUUUAAAGAAAAUAGAGAGGAAUCUAAGAGAUACACAACCAGAAGAACUUUG